rfam:Salmo salar isolate Sally breed double haploid chromosome ssa03, whole genome shotgun sequence.
GCAAUGCACAGCUGUAAGUUACUUUGGCUAAAAGUGUCUGCUAAAUGGCAUAUA